rnacentral:rRNA from 1 species
AGAUUGAACGCUGGCGGCAUGCUUUACACAUGCAAGUCGAACGGUAACAGGGAGCUUGCUCCGCUGACGAGUGGCGAACGGGUGAGUAAUAUAUCGGAACGUACCCAAGAGUGGGGGAUAACGUAGCGAAAGUUACGCUAAUACCGCAUACGAUCUAAGGAUGAAAGCAGGGGAUCUUCGGACCUUGUGCUCCUGGAGCGGCCGAUAUCUGAUUAGCUAGUUGGUGAGGUAAAGGCUCACCAAGGCGACGAUCAGUAGCUGGUCUGAGAGGACGACCAGCCACACUGGAACUGAGACACGGUCCAGACUCCUACGGGAGGCAGCAGUGGGGAAUUUUGGACAAUGGGCGCAAGCCUGAUCCAGCAAUGCCGCGUGAGUGAAGAAGGCCUUCGGGUUGUAAAGCUCUUUUGUCAGGGAAGAAACGGGAGUGGCUAAUAUCCAUUCCUAAUGACGGUACCUGAAGAAUAAGCACCGGCUAACUACGUGCCAGCAGCCGCGGUAAUACGUAGGGUGCAAGCGUUAAUCGGAAUUACUGGGCGUAAAGCGUGCGCAGGCGGUUUUGUAAGUCUGUCGUGAAAUCCCCGGGCUCAACCUGGGAAUUGCGAUGGAGACUGCAAGGCUAGAAUCUGGCAGAGGGGGGUAGAAUUCCACGUGUAGCAGUGAAAUGCGUAGAGAUGUGGAGGAACACCGAUGGCGAAGGCAGCCCCCUGGGUCAAGAUUGACGCUCAUGCACGAAAGCGUGGGGAGCAAACAGGAUUAGAUACCCUGGUAGUCCACGCCCUAAACGAUGUCUACUAGUUGUCGGGUUUUAAUUAACUUGGUAACGCAGCUAACGCGUGAAGUAGACCGCCUGGGGAGUACGGUCGCAAGAUUAAAACUCAAAGGAAUUGACGGGGACCCGCACAAGCGGUGGAUGAUGUGGAUUAAUUCGAUGCAACGCGAAAAACCUUACCUACCCUUGACAUGUACGGAAGCCACGAGAGAUCGAGGUGUGCUCGAAAGAGAGCCGUAACACAGGUGCUGCAUGGCUGUCGUCAGCUCGUGUCGUGAGAUGUUGGGUUAAGUCCCGCAACGAGCGCAACCCUUGUCAUUAGUUGCUACAUUCAGUUGAGCACUCUAAUGAGACUGCCGGGACAAACCGGAGGAAGGUGGGGAUGACGUCAAGUCCUCAUGGCCCUUAUGGGUAGGGCUUCACACGUCAUACAAUGGUACAUACAGAGGGCCGCCAACCCGCGAGGGGGAGCUAAUCCCAGAAAGUGUAUCGUAGUCCGGAUCGCAGUCUGCAACUCGACUGCGUGAAGUUGGAAUCGCUAGUAAUCGCGGAUCAGCAUGUCGCGGUGAAUAC